CGGAGGGUGCAAGCGUUAUCCGGAUUCACUGGGUUUAAAGGGUGCGUAGGUGGGCAAGUAAGUCAGUGGUGAAAUCUCCGGGCUUAACCCGGAAACUGCCAUUGAUACUAUUUGUCUUGAAUACUGUGGAGGUCAGCGGAAUAUGUCAUGUAGCGGUGAAAUGCUUAGAUAUGACAUAGAACACCAAUUGCGAGGGCAGCUGGCUACACAAAUAUUGACACUGAGGCACGAAAGCGUGGGGAUCAAACAGGAUUAGAUACCCUGGUAGUCCACGCCCUAAACUAUGGAUACUCGACAUUUGCGAUAAACUGCAAGUGUCUGAGCGAAAGCAUUAAGUAUCCCACCUGGGAAGUACGAUCGCAAGAUUG
rnacentral:rRNA from 1 species